AGUUUAGAUUUUCAAGAUGACGGCUGGGCUCAUCGGACCAUAUGUAUCUGCCAAAACUCGAAACAAUAGUAGUUAACUCUUGAUAUUGAUGGCAAUGGAGCGGUAAAUUUCGUAGACGAAUCCAUACAAAGUAUUGAAAUGUUGGUGUGGCUGUAUGACGGCUGGCUUCCCAUGGAGUGACUGUGAUUGUUAAUAUGUCGUUCCUUAUUGGGGAACGACGAAUAGCUUUCUGACGGCUUUUCUCAGUAGGAAAGAAAACGAUAAAACUUCCUGCACCAGCUUCUGCAAAUUACAAAUCUGAGGGUCGACCACCUAUCCGUUGUGUAAGCAG
rnacentral:lncRNA from 1 species